rnacentral:rRNA from 1 species
AGAUUAAGUUAUUAAGGGCGCACGGUGGAUGCCUUGGCACUAGAAGCCGAUGAAGGACGUUACUAACGACGAUAUGCUUUGGGUAGCUGUAAGUAAGCGUUGAUCCAGAGAUUUCCGAAUGGGGGAACCCAGCAUGAGUUAUGUCAUGUUAUCGACAUGUGAAUUCAUAGCAUGUCAGAAGGCAGACCCGGAGAACUGAAACAUCUUAGUACCCGGAGGAAGAGAAAGAAAAAUCGAUUCCCUGAGUAGCGGCGAGCGAAACGGGAAUAGCCCAAACCAACAAGCUUGCUUGUUGGGGUUGUAGGACACUCUAUACGGAGUUACAAAAGAACAUGUUAGACGAAUCAUCUGGAAAGAUGAAUCAAAGAAGGUAAUAAUCCUGUAGUCGAAAACAUAUUCUCUCUUGAGUGGAUCCUGAGUACGACGGAGCACGUGAAAUUCCGUCGGAAUCUGGGAGGACCAUCUCCUAAGGCUAAAUACUCUCUAGUGACCGAUAGUGAACCAGUACCGUGAGGGAAAGGUGAAAAGUACCCCGGAAGGGGAGUGAAAGAGAACUUGAAACCGUGUGCUUACAAGUAGUCAGAGCCCGUUAAUGGGUGAUGGCGUGCCUUUUGUAGAAUGAACCGGCGAGUUACGAUCUGAUGCAAGGUUAAGCAGCAAAUGUGGAGCCGCAGCGAAAGCGAGUCUGAAUAGGGCGUUGAGUAUUUGGUCGUAGACCCGAAACCAGGUGAUCUACCCUUGGUCAGGUUGAAGUUCAGGUAACACUGAAUGGAGGACCGAACCGACUUACGUUGAAAAGUGAGCGGAUGAACUGAGGGUAGCGGAGAAAUUCCAAUCGAACUUGGAGAUAGCUGGUUCUCUCCGAAAUAGCUUUAGGGCUAGCCUCAAGUGAUGAUUAUUGGAGGUAGAGCACUGUUUGGACGAGGGGCCCCUCUCGGGUUACCGAAUUCAGACAAACUCCGAAUGCCAAUUAAUUUAACUUGGGAGUCAGAACAUGGGUGAUAAGGUCCGUGUUCGAAAGGGAAACAGCCCAGACC